ensembl:snoRNA small nucleolar RNA, C/D box 19C
AAGAAAUGAUGCUAACUAAGAUUGGUCUUAGUGUUGAAGUGAAGACGCUCAGAUCCAACUCUGAUCUUGCUUUAAGU